GAACGCGAAGAACCUUACCUGGCCUUGACAUAGUAGAGACUUUCCAGAGAUGGAUUGGUGCCUUCGGGAAUCUACAUACAGGUGCUGCAUGGCUGUCGUCAGCUCGUGUCGUGAGAUGUUGGGUUAAGUCCCGCAACGAGCGCAACCCUUUUCCUUACUUGCCAGCAUUUCGGAUGGGAACUUUAAGGAUACUGCCAGUGACAAACUGGAGGAAGGCGGGGACGACGUCAAGUCAUCAUGGCCCUUACGGCCAGGGCUACACACGUGCUACAAUGGUCGGUACAAAGGGUUGCUACACAGCGAUGUGAUGCUAAUCUCAAAAAGCCGAUCGUAGUCCGGAUCGCAGUCUGCAGCUCGACUGCGUGAAGUCGGAAUCGCUAGUAAUCGCGGAUCAGAAUGCCGCGGUGAAUACGUUCCCGGGUCUUGUACACACC
rnacentral:rRNA from 1 species